rnacentral:rRNA from 1 species
GAUCCCAGUCCGCAUUCUAUGUGGGCAACACCAGUCUGUUGCUUGGCUCUCUCCGUCCCUCAAAAGGGUGGAGAUCACCAGCAGCCGCUAAAGUUAGUGGUUCACAGAUCAAACACCGGUGGUCGUACCCUCGAUUAUAAUAUGACCGGUCCCCCUUUAUCAGGAGGUGGACGUCACGUUCCGUAGGUGAACCUGCGGAAGGAUCAUUACCGAGUUAGGGUCUUCCAGGCCCGACCUCCAACCCUGUGUCUAAACUACCAUGUUGCUUUGGCGGGCCCGCCUCUAGGGGCGCUGGGGGCUUCACCGCCUCCGGCCAACGCCUGCCAAUAGCUAUUUUUAAAAUUCUUUAAUCGUGCUGUCUGAGUAUAAAUUUAAAUCGUUAAAACUUUCAACAACGGAUCUCUUGGUUCUGGCAUCGAUGAAGAACGCAGCGAAAUGCGAUAAGUAAUGCGAAUUGCAGAAUUCAGUGAGUCAUCGAAUCUUUGAACGCACAUUGCGCCCUUUGGUAUUCCGAAGGGCAUGCCUGUUCGAGCGUCAUUAUCAACCAUCAAGCCUGGCUUGUCGUUGGGCCGCUUGUCGUCGAGAGUCGACAGGUCCGAAAGAUAGUGACGGUGUCGUGUUGGACCCUAGAUGCAACGAGCUUUCCAAGCACGCAUCGACGUGGUCGGCCGGCCCGGUCUCAACCCCCUAUUUCUUCAGGUUGACCUCGGAUCAGGUAGGAAUACCCGCUGAACUUAAGCAUAUCAAUAA